AUACUUACCUGGCAGGGCGAUACCAUGAUCACGAAGGUGAUUUCUCCAGGAUGAGGCUCACCCACUGCACUCCAGGUGUGCUGACCUCUGCGAUUUCCCCAAAUGUGGGAAACUCGACUGCGUAAUUUGUGGUAGUGAGGGACUGCGUUUGCGCUCUCCCCUG